rnacentral:rRNA from 1 species
GACGAACGCUGGCGGCGUGCUUAACACAUGCAAGUCGAGCGGUAAGGCCCUUUCGGGGGUACGACGAGCGGCGAACGGGUGAGUAACACGUGGGUGACCUGCCCUCAGCUCUGGGAUAAGCCUGGGAAACCGGGUCUAAUACCGGAUAUGACUCCAUGACGCAUGUUGUGGGGUGGAAAGCCUUGUGCGGCUGAGGAUGGGCCCGGCGGCCUAUCAGCUUGUUGGUGGGGUGAUGGCCUACCAAGGCGACGACGGGUAGCCGGCCUGAGAGGGCGACCGGCCACACUGGGACUGGGACACGGCCCAGACUCCUACGGGAGGCAGCAGUGGGGAAUCUUGCGCAAUGGGCGAAAGCCUGACGCAGCGACGCCGCGUGAGGGAUG